UACGAAGGGGGCUAGCGUUGCUCGGAAUCACUGGGCGUAAAGCGCACGUAGGCGGCUUUGUAAGUCAGGGGUGAAAUCCCGGAGCUCAACUCCAGAACUGCCUUUGAUACUGGAGAGCUUGAGUCCGGAAGAGGUGAGUGGAACUCCGAGUGUAGAGGUGAAAUUCGUAGAUAUUCGGAAGAACACCAGUGGCGAAGGCGGCUCGCUGGGCCGUUACUGACGCUGAGGUGCGAAAGCGUGGGGAGCAAACAGG
rnacentral:rRNA from 1 species